AUCCGCCUCCCUCUGAAGAUCAGGAUCUUCCUGUGGCAAUGGAUCCGUGGACGCCUCCCCUCUGGGGUUGAAGUCCUAAAGUGUAACGGCCCUAGCGAUGGGAGGUGUCCCAUCUGUGGCACGAUCGAGGAUGCUAACCACAUCUUCUUCUCGUGCUCUUCUGCCCAGAUCCUGUGGGCUUGCUUCCGUGAAACGGUCGGUGGAUAG
rnacentral:rRNA from 1 species